rnacentral:rRNA from 1 species
GACGAACGCUGGCGGCGUGCUUAACACAUGCAAGUCGAACGAUGAAGCCCAGCUUGCUGGGUGGAAGAGUGGCGAACGGGUGAGUAACACGUGAGUAACCUGCCCUGAACUCUGGGAUAAGCACUGGAAACGGUGUCUAAUACUGGAUACGACCUAUCACCGCAUGGUGUGUGGGUGGAAAGAUUUAUCGGUUUUGGAUGGACUCGCGGCCUAUCAGCUAGAUGGUGAGGUAAUGGCUCACCAUGGCGACGACGGGUAGCCGGCCUGAGAGGGUGACCGGCCACACUGGGACUGAGACACUGCCCAGACUCCUACGGGAGGCAGCAGUGGGGAAUAUUGCACAAUGGGCGAAAGCCUGAUGCAGCGACGCCGCGUGAGGGAUGACGGCCUUCGGGUUGUAAACCUCUUUUAGUAGGGAAGAAGCGAAAGUGACGGUACCUGCAGAAAAAGCACCGGCUAACUACGUGCCAGCCGCCGCAGUAACAC